rnacentral:rRNA from 1 species
UACAGAGGGGGCAAGCGUUGUUCGGAAUUACUGGGCGUAAAGGGCGCGUAGGCGGCCUGCUAAGUCGAACGUGAAAUCCCCGGGCUCAACCCGGGAACUGCGUCCGAUACUGGCAGGCUUGAAUUCGGGAGAGGGAUGUGGAAUUCCAGGUGUAGCGGUGAAAUGCGUAGAUAUCUGGAGGAACACCGGUGGCGAAGGCGGGUCUCUGGGCAGUAACUGACGCUGAGGAGCGAAAGCGUGGGGAGCGAACAGG